rnacentral:rRNA from 1 species
GACAGAGGGUGCAAACGUUGUUCGGAAUUACUGGGCGUAAAGCGCGUGUAGGCAGCUCGGCAAGUCGGGUGUGAAAGCCCUGGGCUCAACCUAGGAAGUGCACUCGAAACUUCCGAGCUGGAGUACUGGAGAGGAAGGCGGAAUUCUCGGUGUAGAGGUGAAAUUCGUAGAUAUCGAGAGGAACACCGGUGGCGAAGGCGGCCUUCUGGACAGUCACUGACGCUGAGACGCGAAAGCAUGGGGAGCAAACAGG